GUUUUGCUGCAUAAACACAUGCUCCACUCCCAGAUCCGCUUCCUGCCCCGGUGGGGAGAAGACCAAGUGUCAGGGGAGAGCGUCUUCCUCCUGAAGGCCCAGCUGCCUGACUGCUGAGACUACACAUUGUUUCUAGAACUCCCAGGGAGCCCUCAAAUCUCCUGCUUUUCACUAAGUGCACAAACGCUGAUUGCCUUGACCUCCCUACAGACCUUUCUGCUGCUCUCCAGAGGGGCACGUGCAGCCCGAAAACACUGCCUUUAGAGAAACUCCAGUUCUAGCUGCUGGACCCAUCACAACAACGGUCUUGGUCCAGCUGAAUGGAUCUGACUCCCACUUGAUGGUGUUCUUCUAGCUCAGACUUCCCUGUGGACCUACAUUUCCUCCGAACUUCCAGGCGCUCUGGGCAGGGGAAGAGAUGAGCGUCUCCCUGCAGCUGACCUGGUCCUUGACAUCUGUGGCCAGAACCGGG